UUCACUCGAAUUAAUCUUUGGAGGCCAGAUUCAGCUUGCCGAUCAACUGAUACACUCUAUUGAAAAAGACUUGAAGAAAAUCUUAAGGCAACUUCAAAUGCCAGAGAAACUUCUGUGCGGGCGGCAGAAUCGAUAAAAACUUAUCAAGAAAUACCGCCUUUUCGACCUCUGCCACUUGGCUCUCAACCACUGACUAAGCAACCUGCAGUGAUGAACGUAACAAUUUACAAAAUACCAUUUAUCCAUCAAGAAGUAGCGGAACCGUCUCCUCAACAACAGCAACGACUUCACCAAGAAACGAAUCUAAAGCAAAGCAUGCAACAAGACACAUUGGCGUU